GUAUCUUCCUUCAAAAUUAAACUGCAGAUAAAAAAAAACAGAGUUUCCUCUGUUUUGUUGCUAAAGAAAAAAAAGAUGCUUCCUUUUUUUCUAUUUUCUUUUUUAAUUAACUGGAAAAAAAAUACUGCUGAUUAAAACUAUUUGCAUUACACAAAACAAUCAAAACCCAGUAAUCUAUAGCUUUCUGCUGCAUUUUCUUGGUAACCAAACAGAGC
rnacentral:misc_RNA from 1 species